rnacentral:rRNA from 1 species
UCAGUAACACGUAGUCACAUGCCAGGGACGUGGAUAACCUCGGGAAACUGAGGAUAAACCGCGAUAGGUCACUGCUUCUGGAAUGGGCAAUGACCCAAACCUACAUGGCCCCUGGAUUGGACUGCGGCCGAUCAGGCUGUUGGUGUGGUAAUGGCCCACCAAACCUGUAACCGGUACGGGCUCUGAGAGGAGGAGCCCGGAGAUGGGCACUGAGACAAGGGCCCAGGCCCUAUGGGGCGCAGCAGGCGCGAAACCUCUGCAAUAGGCGAAAGCUUGACAGGGUUACUCUGAGUGAUUUCCGUUAAGGAGAUCUUUUGGCACCUCUAAAAAUGGUGCAGACAUAAGGGGUGGGUAAGUCUGGUGCCAGC